GCGGUUAUGGUGGAAUUUGGUAGACACGCCAUCUUGAGGGGGUGGUGAGGCGACUCGUGCGAGUUCAAGUCUCGCUAACCGCACCA
rnacentral:tRNA from 1 species